GCAGGCUGCAACUCGCCUGCAUGAAGCUGGAAUUGCUAGUAAUCGCGGAUCAGCAAGCCGCGGUGAAUACGUUCCCGGGCCUUGUACACACCGCCCGUCACACCAUGAGAGUCGGGAACACCCGAAGUCCGUAGUCUAACCGCAAGGGGGGCGCGGCCGAAGGUGGGUCCGGUAAUUGGGGUGGAAGUCGUAACAAGGUAUC
rnacentral:rRNA from 1 species